GUGCAGCAGUCGAGAAUAGUCUACAAUGGACGAAAGUCUGAUAGUGCGACGCCGUGUGUGCGAUUAAUUCCUUCGGGAUGUAAAGCACUUUUCUAUGAGAUAAAAGCUCUUUAGGUUAAUAGCUUAUUGAGACGGAUAUUAUUAUAGGAAUAAGCUCCGGCUAACUCCGUGCCAGCAGCCGCGGUAAUACGGAAGGAGCGAGCGUUGUCCGGAUUUACUAGGCGUAAAGGGCUAGUAGGCGACUAAUUAAGUUAUAUGUUAAAUCCCACGGCUCAACUGUGGUCCUGCAUGUAAUACUGGUUAGAUAGAGUACUGUAGAGGAAGGCAGAAUUCCUGGAGUAGCGGUGGAAUGCGCAGAUAAUCAGGAAGAAUACCAAAAAGCGAAGGCAGCCUUCUGGGCAGUUACUGACGCUGAAUAGCGAAGUGUGGUAGCGAACAGGA
rnacentral:rRNA from 1 species